UACGGAGGGUGCAAGCGUUGCUCGGAAUCACUGGGCGUAAAGCGACCGCAGGCGGCCUGACAAGUCGGAUGUGAAAGCCCUGGGCUCAACUCAGGAAUUGCAUUCGAAACUGGCAGGCUCGAGUACGGGAGAGGGGGGUGGAAUUCCUGGUGUAGGGGUGAAAUUCGUUGAUAUCGGGAGGAACACCGGUGGCGAAGGCGGCGAUCUGGGUAGAUACUGACGCUGAGGUGCGAAAGCUAGGGGAGCAAACGGG
rnacentral:rRNA from 1 species